UACGAAGGGGGCUAGCGUUGCUCGGAAUCACUGGGCGUAAAGGGUGCGUAGGCGGGUCUUUAAGUCAGGGGUGAAAUCCUGGAGCUCAACUCCAGAACUGCCUUUGAUACUGAAGAUCUUGAGUUCGGGAGAGGUGAGUGGAACUGCGAGUGUAGAGGUGAAAUCGUUAGAUAUUCGCAAGAACACCAGUGGCGAAGGCGGCUCACUGGCCCGAUACUGACGCUGAGGCACGAAAGCGUGGGGAGCAAAC
rnacentral:rRNA from 1 species